GUAGGUGAACCUGCGGAAGGAUCAUUAACACGUACUUACGUAUCAACACCUGUGAACUGUUUUGAUGUCCUGUAAUGAAUAGAGUGUCUCAGAGAUGAUAAUGAUAGUGAGAAAUGCUUUGAUCAUUUCGUAUGAUUGGCGAUUCUCUGUCUCUGUGGCCAUUUCAACUUCUUCGGAGGUUGGAACUGUUCUUACUUGGCAUUUUUAUCUAUCAUUGUUUUAACACCUUCUACUUAUUUGACUAAUUAAA
rnacentral:misc_RNA from 1 species